rnacentral:rRNA from 1 species
UACGAAGGGUGCAAGCGUUACUCGGAAUUACUGGGCGUAAAGCGUGCGUAGGUGGUGCGUUAAGUCUGUCGUGAAAGCCCCGGGCUCAACCUGGGAAUGGCGAUGGAUACUGGCUCGCUAGAGUGCGGUAGAGGAGAGUGGAAUUCCCGGUGUAGCAGUGAAAUUCGUAGAUAUUCGGAAGAACACCAGUGGCGAAGGCGACUCACUGGCCCGAUACUGACGCUGAGGCGCGAAAGCGUGGGGAGCAAACAGG